AAUUUUGGACAAUGGGGGAAACCCUGAUCCAGCCAUCCCGCGUGUAUGAUGAAGUCCUUCGGGUUGUAAAGUACUUUUGGCAGAGAAAAAAAGGUACCUCCUAAUACGAGGUACUGCUGUCGGUAUCUGCAGAAUAAGCACCGCAUAACUACGUUCCAGCCGCCGCGGUAAUACGUAGGGUGCAAGCGUUAAUCGGAAUUACUGGGCGUAAAGCGUGUGUAGGCGGUUCGGAAAGAAGGAUGUGAAAUCCCAGGGCUCAACCUUGGAACUGCAUUCUUAACUGCCUAGCUAGAGUAUGUCAGAGGGGGGUAGAAUUCCACGUGUAGCAGUGAAAUGCGUAGAUAUGUGGAGGAAUACCGAUGGCGAAGGCAGCCCCCUGGGAUAAUACUGACGCUCAGACACGAAAGCGUGGGGAGCAAACAG
rnacentral:rRNA from 1 species